rnacentral:rRNA from 1 species
GAUGAACGCUGGCGGCGUGCCUAAUACAUGCAAGUCGAGCGAACGGACGAGAAGCUUGCUUUUCUGAUGUUAGCGGCGGACGGGUGAGUAACACGUGGAUAACCUACCUAUAAGACUGGGAUAACUUCGGGAAACCGGAGCUAAUACCGGAUAAUAUUUUGAACCGCAUGGUUCAAAAGUGAAAGACGGUCUUGCUGUCACUUAUAGAUGGAUCCGCGCUGCAUUAGCUAGUUGGUAAGGUAACGGCUUACCAAGGCAACGAUGCAUAGCCGACCUGAGAGGAUGAUCGGCCACACUGGAACUGAGACACGGUCCAGACUCCUACGGGAGGCAGCAGUAGGGAAUCUUGCGCAAUGGGCGAAAGCCUGACGGAGCAACGCCGCGUGAGUGAUGAAGGUCUUCGGAUCGUAAAGCUCUGUUAGUAGGGAGGAACAUAUGUGUGAGUAACUGUGGACAUCUUGACGGUACCUAAUGAAAAAGCCACGGCUAACUACGUG